rnacentral:rRNA from 1 species
GGUUAAGCGACUAAGCGUACACGGUGGAUGCCCUGGCAGUCAGAGGCGAUGAAGGACGUGCUAAUCUGCGAUAAGCGUCGGUAAGGUGAUAUGAACCGUUAUAACCGGCGAUUUCCGAAUGGGGAAACCCAGUGUGUUUCGACACACUAUCAUUAACUGAAUCCAUAGGUUAAUGAGGCGAACCGGGGGAACUGAAACAUCUAAGUACCCCGAGGAAAAGAAAUCAACCGAGAUUCCCCCAGUAGCGGCGAGCGAACGGGGAGCAGCCCAGAGCCUGAAUCAGUGUGUGUGUUAGUGGAAGCGUCUGGAAAGGCGCGCGAUACAGGGUGACAGCCCCGUACACAAAAAUGCACAUGCUGUGAGCUCGAUGAGUAGGGCGGGACACGUGGUAUCCUGUCUGAAUAUGGGGGGACCAUCCUCCAAGGCUAAAUACUCCUGACUGACCGAUAGUGAACCAGUACCGUGAGGGAAAGGCGAAAAGAACCCCGGCGAGGGGAGUGAAAAAGAACCUGAAACCGUGUACGUACAAGCAGUGGGAGCCUCUUUAUGGGGUGACUGCGUACCUUUUGUAUAAUGGGUCAGCGACUUAUAUUCUGUAGCAAGGUUAACCGAAUAGGGGAGCCGAAGGGAAACCGAGUCUUAACUGGGCGUUAAGUUGCAGGGUAUAGACCCGAAACCCGGUGAUCUAGCCAUGGGCAGGUUGAAGGUUGGGUAACACUAACUGGAGGACCGAACCGACUAAUGUUGAAAAAUUAGCGGAUGACUUGUGGCUGGGGGUGAAAGGCCAAUCAAACCGGGAGAUAGCUGGUUCUCCCCGAAAGCUAUUUAGGUAGCGCCUCGUGAAUUCAUCUCCGGGGGUAGAGCACUGUUUCGGCAAGGGGGUCAUCCCGACUUACCAACCCGAUGCAAACUGCGAAUACCGGAGAAUGUUAUCACGGGAGACACACGGCGGGUGCUAACGUCCGUCGUGAAGAGGGAAACAACCCAGACCGCCAGCUAAGGUCCCAAAGUCAUGGUUAAGUGGGAAACGAUGUGGGAAGGCCCAGACAGCCAGGAUGUUGGCUUAGAAGCAGCCAUCAUUUAAAGAAAGCGUAAUAGCUCACUGGUCGAGUCGGCCUGCGCGGAAGAUGUAACGGGGCUAAACCAUGCACCGAAGCUGCGGCAGCGACGCUUAUGCGUUGUUGGGUAGGGGAGCGUUCUGUAAGCCUGUGAAAGUGUGCUGUGAGGCAUGCUGGAGGUAUCAGAAGUGCGAAUGCUGACAUAAGUAACGAUAAAGCGGGUGAAAAGCCCGCUCGCCGGAAGACCAAGGGUUCCUGUCCAACGUUAAUCGGGGCAGGGUGAGUCGACCCCUAAGGCGAGGCCGAAAGGCGUAGUCGAUGGGAAACAGGUUAAUAUUCCUGUACUUGGUGUUACUGCGAAGGGGGGACGGAGAAGGCUAUGUUGGCCGGGCGACGGUUGUCCCGGUUUAAGCGUGUAGGCUGGUUUUCCAGGCAAAUCCGGAAAAUCAAGGCUGAGGCGUGAUGACGAGGCACUACGGUGCUGAAGCAACAAAUGCCCUGCUUCCAGGAAAAGCCUCUAAGCAUCAGGUAACAUCAAAUCGUACCCCAAACCGACACAGGUGGUCAGGUAGAGAAUACCAAGGCGCUUGAGAGAACUCGGGUGAAGGAACUAGGCAAAAUGGUGCCGUAACUUCGGGAGAAGGCACGCUGAUAUGUAGGUGAAGCGACUUGCUCGUGGAGCUGAAAUCAGUCGAAGAUACCAGCUGGCUGCAACUGUUUAUUAAAAACACAGCACUGUGCAAACACGAAAGUGGACGUAUACGGUGUGACGCCUGCCCGGUGCCGGAAGGUUAAUUGAUGGGGUCAGCGCAAGCGAAGCUCUUGAUCGAAGCCCCGGUAAACGGCGGCCGUAACUAUAACGGUCCUAAGGUAGCGAAAUUCCUUGUCGGGUAAGUUCCGACCUGCACGAAUGGCGUAAUGAUGGCCAGGCUGUCUCCACCCGAGACUCAGUGAAAUUGAACUCGCUGUGAAGAUGCAGUGUACCCGCGGCAAGACGGAAAGACCCCGUGAACCUUUACUAUAGCUUGACACUGAACAUUGAGCCUUGAUGUGUAGGAUAGGUGGGAGGCUUAGAAGUGUGGACGCCAGUCUGCAUGGAGCCGACCUUGAAAUACCACCCUUUAAUGUUUGAUGUUCUAACGUGGACCCGUGAUCCGGGUUGCGGACAGUGUCUGGUGGGUAGUUUGACUGGGGCGGUCUCCUCCUAAAGAGUAACGGAGGAGCACGAAGGUUGGCUAAUCCUGGUCGGACAUCAGGAGGUUAGUGCAAUGGCAUAAGCCAGCUUGACUGCGAGCGUGACGGCGCGAGCAGGUGCGAAAGCAGGUCAUAGUGAUCCGGUGGUUCUGAAUGGAAGGGCCAUCGCUCAACGGAUAAAAGGUACUCCGGGGAUAACAGGCUGAUACCGCCCAAGAGUUCAUAUCGACGGCGGUGUUUGGCACCUCGAUGUCGGCUCAUCACAUCCUGGGGCUGAAGUAGGUCCCAAGGGUAUGGCUGUUCGCCAUUUAAAGUGGUACGCGAGCUGGGUUUAGAACGUCGUGAGACAGUUCGGUCCCUAUCUGCCGUGGGCGCUGGAGAACUGAGGGGGGCUGCUCCUAGUACGAGAGGACCGGAGUGGACGCAUCACUGGUGUUCGGGUUGUCAUGCCAAUGGCACUGCCCGGUAGCUAAAUGCGGAAGAGAUAAGUGCUGAAAGCAUCUAAGCACGAAACUUGCCCCGAGAUGAGUUCUCCCUGACCCUUUAAGGGUCCUGAAGGAACGUUGAAGACGACGACGUUGAUAGGCCGGGUGUGUAAGCGCAGCGAUGCGUUGAGCUAACCGGUACUAAUGAACCGUGAGGCUUAACCUU